UCUCCGUAGGUGAACCUGCGGAGGGAUCAUUACCGAGUGAGGGUCCUUGUGGCCCGACCUCCAACCCCCUGUCUUCCGACUCUGUUGCCUCGGGGGCGACCCGGCCCUCUGGGCGUCGGGGCCCCCGGAGCCCAUCAAACCCUGCGUAACUAAGUCGUCGGAGUUUAAACAAAUUAAACAAAACUUUCAACAACGGAUCUCUUGGUUCGGGCAUCGAUGAAGAACGCAGC
rnacentral:misc_RNA from 1 species